UACGGAGGGAGCUAGCGUUGUUCGGAAUUACUGGGCGUAAAGCGCGCGUAGGCGGCUUUGUAAGUUAGAGGUGAAAGCCCGGGGCUCAACUCCGGAACUGCCUUUAAGACUGCAUCGCUUGAAUCCGGGAGAGGUGAGUGGAAUUCCGAGUGUAGAGGUGAAAUUCGUAGAUAUUCGGAAGAACACCAGUGGCGAAGGCGGCUCUCUGGGACGGUACUGACGGCUGAGACGCGAAAGCGUGGGGGAGCGAACAGG
rnacentral:rRNA from 1 species